rnacentral:rRNA from 1 species
UACAUGGGGUGCAAACGUUGCUCGGAAUUAUUGGGCGUAAAGCGCACGUAGGCGGUUUGUUAAGUCGGAUGUGAAAUCCCCAGGCUUAACCUGGGAACUGCAUCCGAUACUGGAUGGCUUGAAUUCGGGAGAGGGAUGCAGAAUUCCAGGUGUAGCGGUGAAAUGCGUAGAUAUCUGGAGGAACACCGGUGGCGAAGGCGGCAUCCUGGACCGGUAUUGACGCUGAGGCGCGAAAGCUAGGGGAGCAAACGGG